rnacentral:piRNA from 1 species
UAGGCAGUGAAGUUGUUGAAAAAUACAAAG